CACGUAGGGUGCGAGCGUUGUCCGGAAUUAUUGGGCGUAAAGAGCUCGUAGGCGGUGUGUCGCGUCGGCCGUGAAAACCUGCAGCUUAACUGUGGGCUUGCGGUCGAUACGGGCAUCACUGGAGUUCGGCAGGGGAGACUGGAAUUCCUGGUGUAGCGGUGAAAUGCGCAGAUAUCAGGAGGAACACCGGUGGCGAAGGCGGGUCUCUGGGCCGAUAACUGACGCU
rnacentral:rRNA from 1 species